ACGGGCUUAGUGUAGUGGUAACACAAGAGGACCGCAAUUACCCUCUUAUCGGUGGUUCGAACCCAUCAGCCUGUGCCA
rnacentral:tRNA from 1 species